rnacentral:rRNA from 1 species
GACGGAGGGGGCAAGCGUUGUCCGGAAUCACUGGGCGUAAAGGGCGCGUAGGUGGCUUCGUGCGUCGGUGCUGAAAGCGCCGGGCUUAACCCGGCGAGGCGUGCCGAUACGACGAGGCUUGAGGCAGGGAGAGGGUAGCGGAAUUCCGGGUGUAGUGGUGAAAUGCGUAGAGAUCCGGAGGAACGCCAGAGACGAAGGUGGCUACCUGGCCCUGACCUGACACU